CGGGCGGAGUCUGCUUGCGGCUGUAGUCGUUGGCGUCGAAGAUGAAGCUCGGCUCCCUUAAGAGCACGGGCAAAGUCCUCCUGCAAUUUAAAAUUAAAGGCGAAGUCCGGCUCUCGUAGGAGUCCGGAUGGAGCUUACCAGCAGUUGAUACUGAGAGCGGAGCCCGGCUCCCGCAGGAGUCCGGGCGGAGCUGCGUUGCUGUCGGCGGUGGAGCCUGGUUCCCGUAAGAGUCCNNNNNNNNNNNNNNNNNNNNGGCUCCCGUAGGAGUCCGGGCGGAGCUGUGCUGCUGUCGGCGGUGGAGCCCGGCUCCCGUAGGAGUCCGGGCGGAGCUGCGCUGCUGUCGGCGGUGGAGCUCGGUUCCCGUAGGAGUCCGGGCGGAGCUGCGUUGCUGCCGAUUCCGUUGAGGGUUUCGGCUGUGGGUAUUUUAUACCCAACAGCUUGUAUAACUUUGGAGUAGAAGUUUGUUGCCAGC
rnacentral:lncRNA from 1 species